UACGAAGGGGGCUAGCGUUGCUCGGAAUUACUGGGCGUAAAGGGCUCGUAGGCGGCCAACUAAGUCGGAUGUGAAAUCCCCAGGCUCAACUUGGGAACUGCAUCCGAUACUGGAUGGCUUGAAUUCGGGAGAGGGAUGCAGAAUUCCAGGUGUAGCGGUGAAAUGCGUAGAUAUCUGGAGGAAUACCGGUGGCGAAGGCGGCAUCCUGGACCGACAUUGACGCUGAGGAGCGAAAGCUAGGGGAGCAAACGGG
rnacentral:rRNA from 1 species